AUACAGGUGACGAGUUCCAAACAGGACGAAACGCGCAUCCUGGAU
rfam:Schistosoma curassoni strain Dakar, Senegal genome assembly, scaffold: SCTD_contig0004323